rnacentral:lncRNA from 1 species
AAAAAAAAAUGCUGAUACAAGAAGGAGAGGCAGGGUGAUUGCAGAGCCAACUCCUUAAGAAGGUGCCCAAGAGGAAAGGUUGAUCUUGGCGAGAGCACACACAAUCCAUUCAUUGUAUUGGGAGGGAAACACAAAAGUUUAAAGGAAGAUUUGUUUGUAGAUUGUAUGGUGAUUAGACUAAGGAAGUUCUCUCUACACUUGUUUUCUCAGUGAAAUAAGCAAGUUCAUCACUUAAGAAUGAGUAGCGACGCAGUGCAGACAUUUGAUUGAAGGGGAGGCCAUAUUCAUAGAAUGUGUAAAAAUGAAAUAACAUUGUACUGACGAUCCUAGCCAACACAACAGAACAAGAAAAAAAGUAAAUAUUAGAAAGCUAAUAUUAGAAACUAAACUGUUA